rnacentral:tRNA from 1 species
UAAAAAGUAGUAAAAACGGGAUUACAGAGAGUUUUGAUCUUUCAGUUAUAGGUUCAAUUCCUAUUUUUUUA